rnacentral:rRNA from 1 species
CACGUAGGGGGCAAGCGUUGUCCGGAUUUAUUGGGCGUAAAGAGCUCGUAGGCGGCUCGGUAAGUCGGGUGUGAAAACUCGGGGCUCAACCCCGAGACGCCACUCGAUACUGCCAUGGCUUGAGUCCGGUAGGGGAGUGUGGAAUUCCUGGUGUAGCGGUGAAAUGCGCAGAUAUCAGGAGGAACACCGAUGGCGAAGGCAGCACUCUGGGCCGGUACUGACGCUGAGGAGCGAAGGCGUGGGGAGCAAACAGG